rnacentral:rRNA from 1 species
GACGAACGCUGGCGGCGUGCUUAACACAUGCAAGUCGAACGAAGUGGCGCACGGGUGAGUAACGCGUAAUCAACCUGCCCUUCAGCGGGGGACAACAGUUGGAAACGCCUGCUAAUACCGCAUACUGAAGGAGGGGAUUGCGUCUGAUUAGCUAGUUGGAGGGGUAACGUCCCACCAAGGCGAUGAUCAGUAGCCGGUCGGAGAGGAUGAACGGCCAAAUGGGGACUGAGACACGGCCCAGACUCCUACGGGAGGCAGCAGUGGGGAAUCUUCCGAAAGGGACGAAAGUCGGACGGAGCAACGCCGCGUGAUUGAGGACGGCCUUCGGGUUGGAAAGCUCUGUUAAUCGGGACGCGGUACCGGAAUAGAAAGCCACGGCUAACUACGUGCCAGCAGCCGCGGUAAUAC